GUUUGCUAACUGUUUAAAACUAUCGAUUUAACUAAAAAAGUACGUGCAAUUAUGUCAAAUGUCUUUGACGUCACAUUUGUGAAUUUCAUACAAGCUCCUUUACUAAGCGAGCGUUUUGACGUUUGAUAAAAAGUCACUGAUUUGACUUGUAAUCAUCAUCCCUAUUGAGAUUCUAAUAAUGUUUG